rnacentral:rRNA from 1 species
ACGAACGCUGGCGGCAGGCCUAACACAUGCAAGUCGAGCGCACCUUCGGGUGAGCGGCGGACGGGUUAGUAACGCGUGGGAACGUACCCUUUUCUACGGAAUAGCCUUUGGAAACGAAGAGUAAUACCGUAUACGCCCUUUGGGGGAAAGAUUUAUCGGAGAAGGAUCGGCCCGCGUUAGAUUAGAUAGUUGGUGGGGUAACGGCCUACCAAGUCUACGAUCUAUAGCUGGUUUUAGAGGAUGAUCAGCAACACUGGGACUGAGACACGGCCCAGACUCCUACGGGAGGCAGCAGUGGGGAAUCUUAGACAAUGGGCGCAAGCCUGAUCUAGCCAUGCCGCGUGAGUGAUGAAGGCCUUAGGGUCGUAAAGCUCUUUCGCCUGUGAUGAUAAUGACAGUAGCAGGUAAAGAAACCCCGGCUAACUCCGUGCCAGCAGCCGCGGUAAUACGGAGGGGGUUAGCGUUGUUCGGAAUUACUGGGCGUAAAGCGCACGUAGGCGGAUUGGAAAGUUGGGGGUGAAAUCCCGGGGCUCAACCCCGGAACUGCCUCCAAAACUAUCAGUCUAGAGUUCGAGAGAGGUGAGUGGAAUUCCAAGUGUAGAGGUGAAAUUCGUAGAUAUUUGGAGGAACACCAGUGGCGAAGGCGGCUCACUGGCUCGAUACUGACGCCUGA